rnacentral:rRNA from 1 species
AACGCGAAGAACCUUACCAGGCCUUGACAUCCCGUGCUAAGCCCAGAGAUGGGUGGUCCCCGCAAGGGGCGCGGAGACAGGUGCUGCAUGGCUGUCGUCAGCUCGUGUCGUGAGAUGUUGGGUUAAGUCCCGCAACGAGCGCAACCCUUGUCCUGUGUUGGCAUGCCGCAAGGCGCAACUCUCAGGAGACCGCCAGCGAUAAGUUGGAGGAAGGUGGGGAUGACGUCAAGUCAUCAUGGCCUUUAUGUCCAGGGCCACACACGUGCUACAAUGGGCGGUACAAAGCGCUGCCAACCCGCGAGGGGGAGCUAAUCGCCAAAAACCGUCCUCAGUUCGGAUUGCAGGCUGCAACUCGCCUGCAUGAAGCUGGAAUCGCUAGUAAUGCUAUAUCAGAACGAUAGCGUGAAUACGUUCCCGGGCCUUGUACACACCGCGCAUA